GAUGAAGAACGCAGCGAAAUGCGAUACGUAAUGUGAAUUGCAGAAUUCAGUGAAUCAUCGAGUCUUUGAACGCACAUUGCGCCCCCUGGUAUUCCGGGGGGCAUGCCUGUCCGAGCGUCAUUGCUGCCCUCAAGCCCGGCUUGUGUGUUGGGUCUCGUCCCCCUUCCCGGGGGGACGGGCCCGAAAGGCAGCGGCGGCACCGCGUCCGGUCCUCGAGCGUAUGGGGCUUUGUCACCCGCUCUGUAGGCCCGGCCGGCGCUUGCCGACACAUCAAUCUUUUUUCCAGGUUGACCUCGGAUCAGGUAGGGAUACCCGCUGAACUUAAGCAUAUCAAUAAGCGGAGGA
rnacentral:misc_RNA from 1 species